GUUCCCAAGCCAAUAACUGAAUCUUCACCACAGCAGUGACAACACUGGAUCCUUAACCACAAUGCUAUUGAGGAACUCCCUAAAAUGAUUUAUUUGAUGAAACUGAUGUACUGCUUACUCUGCUAAGGAGGCAGACUUUUAAAUUUAAAAAAAAUUCUUGAAGUAUAAUUGGCAUAUAACACAGUUUAAUUGUACAACUUGAUAUCCAUAUACAUUGUGAAAUGAUCACAGUAAGUCUUAAAAUGAUACAUUUUGUGUGAUUGUGACCUAAAAAAUAAAAGCCAUUUAAAUUACAGAGUCCUCUGGUCAGAAUGGCCAUCAUUAGUAAGUCUACCAAUAACAAAUGCUCGAGAGGGUGUGGAGAAAAGAGAACCCUCCUUCACUGUUGGUGGGAAUGUAAAUUGGUACAACUACUAUGGAAAACAAUAUGGAGGAACUCCUGUCGUUUUUUUUAAAAAAAGAAAUUAUCAAAGGUAGCCUAAUGAGUGUCAAGUGGUAUCUAACUGUGGUUUUGAUUUGCAUUUCCCUGAUGACUAAUGAUGUAGAACAUUUUUUUCAUGUGCUUAUUGACCAUUUGUGUAUCUUUGGAGAAAUGUCUGUUAUCUUUUGCCCAUUUAAAAAAUAAGGUUCUCUAUCUUUUUUGAGUUCUUCAACACUUUUUUAUUUAUUUUAUUUUUUUGUCUUUUUGCCUUUUCUAGGACAGCUUCCGUGGCACGUGGAGGUUCGCAGGCUAGGGGUCUAAUCGGAGCUGUAGCCACCGGCCUACACCAGAGCCACAGCAACGCGAGAUCUGAGCCGCAUCUGCAACCUACACCACAGCUCACGGCAACGCUGGAUCCUUAACCCACUGAAUGAGACCAGGGAUCGAACCCACAACCUCAUGGUUGCUAGUUGGAUUUGUUAACCACUGGGCCACGAUGGGAACUCCUUCAUCACUUUUUUAAAUUGAGCAAAUAAAUAUCAUAAACUCCACCCGAAGCUCACUGGUUGGUAAAAUUUAUCCUCAUUAUGAUGUUACGUAAUUAUAGUAUGUAAAAUGUGAACACCACUGAAGCAGCAUGAUGACUAUCGCCUGUAUGUUCCAGAGCUCUGAUCCCAUUCAUGGCACAAGAUAUUUCUAUUUGAUCACAGUAGCAUUUUGUAAGUUAGUAAAGCCCUAAAACAUUAAUUAAUUUUGUCAAAUUUUAAGUAAAAUAUAAUACAAUGAUUUAAUAUGUGAUUUAAUAAAUGUCAUUCCAACAACUGAAGAUUAAAAAAACUUUUAGUGUAAGCAAAAAUAGAAUUAAAUAGUUAUAAUAAAAUCCACUGAUUUUCUCAAGCUAUAGCUAAUGUGAAGUUUGACAUCUAUGUACAUUACUGAAAAUAAGUUGCAAAAAAAAUUACCUAAUUUCCUGCUAGAUAAAUCAGAGGUAAGAACCACCUUCUCUUCUUUUUACAAAGUCUGGUAUCUUGCACAAUAACAGUGACUAAAAUAAAUGGUGCCAAAUUUUUAGAGAGGGUCUUGUUUAAUUCAGAAUAUAAUUAAAAUCUCAUGUAGCUUUAUUGGUUUUAGUAUCCAGCAGAGAAAAAAUAUUGAAACUCCAAGAGAUUUUGAAUUAAAUAGCUACAACUGUUUUGUUUUAUUAGUUCUGACUGUGUGAAAAAAAAAUUAUAAGGACAACUUUGGAAAAAUCUAGUUCUUUUAAAGCCCCAAAUGACUUUUAAAACAAUAAAACCAACUAUAAAACCUACACAAGUGAUAUUAAAAAUUAUGUAGUUCAAUGCAUGUGACAUUCACAAAUGUGGCUGUAAUUUUUUUUUAACUAUAGCAAAAUGAACAUGGAUCUGACGACUGGAUUUAGAAGAGGUGGUGUUAUAUAGCUUAACAGAAUUAAGUGCUUCAAUUUGCUGGUGAGGAUUAUGUAGCUAAAUUGGAAUGUUAUACCAAUGCCUUUUAAGAUCCCCAUCCACCUCACAGGGUCUGUGGCUAAAUCAAAGAAAGGAAUGAUGCUUCCUUUUCCUAUAUUAGUGAUUAUUUCUUUGCUAUUUUAAUAUUUAUUUUUGGAACAUUUGUAGAUUUAGAUCUUUAUGGCUGAUGGCUGAGUCAUGCACGGAAUAAACUAUAAACCCAUACUAUUUAUGAAGAUGGGGAAGGAAGGCUGGCUAUUGAUCAACAGUACGAGUAUUACAAGAAUUGGAGCAAUCAUCGCAAUCACUUGCUAAAGGGAGAAGGGGAGGAAAAAGGAGAAAAACAAAGAUGAGGGAGAAACAUUUUGUGAGAAAAUAAUAAUCAUAGUUAAUCUGCUUCAUUUACUGAGGUCUCAAUCUUGAAGAUGCAAACAUCAUUUGUGAAGUCCUUUAACAUAACACCUGUCCUUUCUUCGUCCCUAAAUCCCGUCUCUGUCCUUAGUACAGAACACUUUACUUUUCACAGUCUCUCAGUACCGGCUUGAAUUCUCUAUCAGGCCAUGUGAGGAGAAUUAUGACCAGUGGAGGGGGCACAACAUCAGACCAGACCCUGGAGAGACCAAUGAUUUGCAAACAGCCUUGCACAGAUGGUUUUCAAGAGCAAUGCACUACCUGAACUUGUAUGCAGACUUAACAAAUAAUUCAAAUAAUUUUUAUCUUUUGAAAAACCUAAGACAAUGUUUUUACUUUUUAACAUAUAAACUCAUAAAGUAUUUAUAUUAAAAUUUUCAAAUCUAUAGAGAAGCUGAAACUAGUACAAUGAAUGUCUGUAUACUCCUCACUUAAAUCCGUCAGUGACAAUUUUUCUACUUUGGUUUAUCUCCCUCUUUACAUAUAUGUACAUAUGUAUAUGUGUGUGUGUAUGCUGAUUCAAAAGUUGCAGAUUUCAUGACACUUCACACCUAAAUUCCUUAGCUUGUAUCUCCCAGAAUAAGGACAUUUUACCCACAAUACCAAUAUCACACCUAAAACAAUGACCAUUAGUUUAAUAAUGUCAUCUCACACAUAAUCCCUGUUCAGUUUUCCCCU
rnacentral:lncRNA from 1 species